AUUGAACGCUGGCGGCAGGCCUAACACAUGCAAGUCGAGCGGAGCGACGGACGGGUGAGUAAUGCCUAGGAAUCUGCCUGGUAGUGGGGGAUAACGUCCGGAAACGGGCGCUAAUAUCGCAUACUAUCAGAUGAGCCUAGGUCGGAUUAGCUAGUUGGUGGGGUAAAGGCCUCACAAGACUACGAUCCGUAACUGGUCUGAGAGGAUGAUCAGUCAAACUGGAACCUAGACACGGUCCAGACUCCUACGGGAGGCAGCAGUGGGGAAUAUUGGACAAUGGGCGAAAGCCUGAUACAGCCAUGCCGCGUGUGUGAAGAAGUUCUUCGGAUUGUAAAGCACUUUAAGUUGGGAGGCGGUACCAACAGAAUAAGCACCGGCGAACUUCGUGCCAGCAGCCGCGGUAAUUC
rnacentral:rRNA from 1 species